UGGGAUUUGCCUAGGGUGUUACAUUAGCGAUACCCAAAAAAAGCGAAACUCAAGACAAUAAGGGUUUCUCAAAAUAGAAGAAAUAGAACCUGUUAAAACAGAACUUGUAAAAGCUGACAACAAAAUUUGAGUCUCAAACCUUGAACCACUUGAAAAUAGCCCAGAUCAACCAAAAACCUCCUUAACUAAGUUGAGGAUGUCGGGAGAAGAAGUCAGAGGAGCAAACACUAACGGGCCAAAAAGUUAAAAAUUACGUGUAGGCCACGCGCGAUAGUUCUGGUCAUUGGACCUAGUGGGUGGAGUUGCCGACAGCUUUUGUUCUUCCUAAGCAAGCAAUGAGAACUAAGUGUCACCCUAUAUGGUGACCUAAUAACAUAGUCG
rnacentral:misc_RNA from 1 species